rnacentral:hammerhead_ribozyme from 1 species
GCACUGCUGAGGAGUCCCAUAAUAGGACGAUAGGGCCGUCCAGUGU